rnacentral:lncRNA from 1 species
GCGGCUGCCCGCGCGCCUGCGCCCUCUGCUGCUCCGCUCCGGGCGCGUCUGUGCGUCUGGGUCUGUUUGGAGAGGCUUGGGUGACAGGCGAGGGGUGGGGGAAGAGUUCAGCUUGACUCACAGUCUCAUUCACUGAUUUCGCCCGCUGGACCGAGGCUGCCUCCCCAGGCGGUUCCUAACUACCCUCGCACCUCCGAGGUCCCCACUGCCGCCUCUCCACUUUCAGCGACGGACCGACCGGCCGACUCUCGAGUUGGCAGCUUUGCGCCCGAGGGUUUCGCGAGCAGAGGCGGCGAGGACAGGGCGUCUCUGGCCCAGUCAGCCAGGAAGCAUGCGGUUCGGGCAGCAGCGCUAAGCGCCCCCACGCUGGGCACGGGGCGUACGAGCUCCGCGCGGCUAGCAGAGCGGCGGCGGUGGAGGGGAUGCACCCGGGACGCGCCAGGCUCCUGCCGCGAGCUACCAACCCGAGGUGGACCCUAAGUAGGGCUCAUCGCAGGACCGCGCAGACCCCUGCCCUCCGGGGCACGCGGCUGCGGAGCCUCGGGGACGUGUCUGCGGUCAGGAUGCCCUGGGCACCUCUCAGCUGGUGAGGAUGUCCUGCUGCGCGGCUCUGCAUCCACAGCCCCAGACCCUGGUGAACACGACUGCCUGGGCCCGGCAUUGGCCCCUCGUGCCGGUGGAUGAAAAACGCUGGAGUCCUUGAAUGCAUUAGCGAUC